AGUGAACGCUGGCGGUAGGCCUAACACAUGCAGGUCGAACGGCAGCACAGUAAGAGCUUGCUCUUACGGGUGGCGAGUGGCGGACGGGUGAGGAAUACAUCGGAAUCUACUUUUUCGUGGGGGAUAACGUAGGGAAACUUACGCUAAUACCGCAUACGACCUACGGUUGAAAGCAGGGGAUCUUCGGACCUUGCGCGAUUGAAUGAGCCGAUGUCGGAUUAGCUAGUUGGCGGGGUAAAGGCCCACCAAGGCGACGAUCCGUAGCUGGUCUGAGAGGAUGAUCAGCCACACUGGAACUGAGACACGGUCCAGACUCCUACGGGAGGCAGCAGUGGGGAAUAUUGGACAAUGGGCGCAAGCCUGAUCCAGCCAGACCGCGUGGGUGAAGAAGGCCUUCGGGUUGUAAAGCCCUUUUGUUGGGAAAGAAAAGCAGCAGGUUAAUACCCCGCUGUUCUGACGGUACCCAAAGAAUAAGCACCGGCUAACUUCGUG
rnacentral:rRNA from 1 species